rnacentral:tRNA from 1 species
GGCGAGGUAGCUCAGUGGUAGAGCAGGGGACUCAUAAGCCCUUGGUCGUUGGUUCAAAUCCAAUCCUCGCUA